UAUUUGGGUGAGAACAGCAGCUCAUAUGCCGAAUGCGGAGUGACGAAUACAAUGUUAUGCAAUCAAACUCUGAAAACCACAAAACUGUUGGUAGAGAUGAAACUGCGCCAAACGAAUUCCCUUGACAAACGCUGCUCGUAGUUGAGAUGGGAGAUCAGUGGAUUCCCACGACCGCUCACUGCCUUUUACUCACACAAGGACAACACAUGGAGCGAAUCAGCGUCUAUUUAGGAGUCCACAAUUAUGUAGCGACUGAUGAAAUCAAUCGGAAAAUGUACCUUGCGAAUAAUUACGUCGUUCAUCCCAACUGGAAUGUGAACAAUUUCUCCAACGACAUUGCCCUAAUUAAACUCUCAACUACCGUCACUGUCUCGCAAUACAUACGUCCAAUCUGCCUUGCAAGUUUGACUGAGCCGGAUUACACCAACGAACCUGCCACCACCUGCCACCGUCGCCGGAUGGGGUUCACUUCGGAUGGUUUGAGUGCUAGCCUUAGUCCUUUGCUCCGCAAAGUGACAGUUCCAGUCAUCUCCAAUAUAGCGUCUGUAGUGAUACCUAUCCCGGCAUGAUUACAGAGAAAAUCAUCUGUACCAGUGGAGCCAAUCGCAGUGGGCCGUGUAAAAGUGAGAGUGGAGGCCCAUUAAUUUUCAAAGAAUCCAAUGGCAAAUGGAAAAAAUUAAUUGGGAUCGUUUCAUUCGGCUCAAGCCUAGGCUACCAGAAGAAUUUUCCUAGUGGCUACACCAGGAUCAGCUCCUAUUCAUCGUGGAUCCAGGGCGUCAUUGCACCAACGGCCCCCACAAAGUCACCUAUGAACAACCGUCACUUCAACUACCGUUCCCACAACCAGCCCGUAUUCGUCUGGUCCCCACACGUACGCCUUUUUAUCUGUAUCUUUAGUUAUUUUUUAGCUUUGCGUUCAGUUUUGCAGGGGACGAUACAUUGUUAUCAAGUUAAAUGCUGGCUUAAGAUAAUUUCACCACCACGCGACUGUCUGUCACCUGUUGUGCCAAUGACCCACCAAACCAUCAAAAUACAUGUUGACAUUUUCAAGUUUAAUAAAGUUACACCAUGACGUCGUGUAUGGUGUCCAAACCAAACCUUUGGCACUGGUUUGGCAUUUAUCUGCGAGAUAAAUUGGCUUAAACACAAACUUUCUCCGCUAUUCGUAUCAGUCUAAUUUUUGUUGCCCAGGUCUGCACACGCACAUUCCUUCUAAAGUAAUUGUAUUUUAACUUUAUGCCAAUAGAUGCCGAAAUUAAAACGCUACCUUCUUUUCACUUUACACGGAUUACUCAAGUCUAUAAAAAUAAUUGUACGGACGUUUAGCGAUCAUUUGUCUUAAUUCACUGACAACCAAGAAUGUCCGCUUUUCUUUCCCGAGCCCCUGUUUUCAUCGUGGAUAUUUUGGCCAUUACGUCCAUGUAUUUUUAUUCUUUAUGACUAAGUCACCGUCAAAAAAUGGUGAAAACGCCCAAAACGCUUGUGGAGUGUCCAAUGGCAUCUCGAAGGCAUCAACAAAGGCCAAGACAAGAUCGGUGUCGGAGUGGAGGCAGGCUAUGUCGAAUUCCCUUGGCAAGCCGACAUUCGAAUAUACACGAAGAGCGGCACUAAGCACGCUUGCGGAGGAAGUUUGAUAUCAGAUCAAUGGAUUCUUACAUCUGCUCAAUGCGUGAAGACAAAUACUGAUGGGGAUCAAAUUUUAGAAGUGUGAGUUACGCUGGGGCAUGCACAACUAUAAAAUGUCGAAUGAUCUUAACCGACGAACCUUUGAAUUAGACAUGAAUAGCUUCUUUUUUCAUCCGGAUUAUUCGGAAACGCUGGACGCAGAUAUCGCCUUGAUUAAACUCCCAUCUGUCGUCACCUUCUCAAGUAUCAAGAUAACGUCACACUGAAGGUCAUAUUAUCGGCACGCAAUCGGUUAAUUACGUUGUCAUGCUGCUGCUGUUGUAUCGUCGAU